rnacentral:rRNA from 1 species
GGUUAAGCGACUAAGCGUACACGGUGGAUGCCUAGGCAGUCAGAGGCGAUGAAGGGCGUGCUAAUCUGCGAAAAGCGUCGGUAAGCUGAUAUGAAGCGUUAUAACCGACGAUACCCGAAUGGGGAAACCCAGUGCAAUACGUUGCACUAUCGUUAGAUGAAUACAUAGUCUAACGAGGCGAACCGGGGGAACUGAAACAUCUAAGUACCCCGAGGAAAAGAAAUCAACCGAGAUUCCCCCAGUAGCGGCGAGCGAACGGGGAGGAGCCCAGAGUCUGAAUCAGUUUGUGUGUUAGUGGAAGCGUCUGGAAAGUCGCACGGUACAGGGUGAUAGUCCCGUACACCAAAAUGCACAGGCUGUGAACUCGAUGAGUAGGGCGGGACACGUGACAUCCUGUCUGAAUAUGGGGGGACCAUCCUCCAAGGCUAAAUACUCCUGACUGACCGAUAGUGAACCAGUACCGUGAGGGAAAGGCGAAAAGAACCCCGGCGAGGGGAGUGAAAUAGAACCUGAAACCGUGUACGUACAAGCAGUGGGAGCACCUUCGUGGUGUGACUGCGUACCUUUUGUAUAAUGGGUCAGCGACUUAUAUUUUGUAGCAAGGUUAACCGAAUAGGGGAGCCGUAGGGAAACCGAGUCUUAACUGGGCGUCUAGUUGCAAGGUAUAGACCCGAAACCCGGUGAUCUAGCCAUGGGCAGGUUGAAGGUUGGGUAACACUAACUGGAGGACCGAACCGACUAAUGUUGAAAAAUUAGCGGAUGACUUGUGGCUGGGGGUGAAAGGCCAAUCAAACCGGGAGAUAGCUGGUUCUCCCCGAAAGCUAUUUAUGUAGCGCCUCGUGAACUCAUCUUCGGGGGUAGAGCACUGUUUCGGCUAGGGGGCCAUCCCGGCUUACCAAACCGAUGCAAACUCCGAAUACCGAAGAAUGUUAUCACGGGAGACACACGGCGGGUGCUAACGUCCGUCGUGAAGAGGGAAACAACCCAGACCGCCAGCUAAGGUCCCAAAGUCAUGGUUAAGUGGGAAACGAUGUGGGAAGGCACAGACAGCCAGGAUGUUGGCUUAGAAGCAGCCAUCAUUUAAAGAAAGCGUAAUAGCUCACUGGUCGAGUCGGCCUGCGCGGAAGAUGUAACGGGGCUAAACCAUGCACCGAAGCUGCGGCAGCGACACUUAGGUGUUGUUGGGUAGGGGAGCGUUCUGUAAGCCGUUGAAGGUGACCUGUGAGGGUUGCUGGAGGUAUCAGAAGUGCGAAUGCUGACAUAAGUAACGAUAAUGCGGGUGAAAAACCCGCACGCCGGAAGACCAAGGGUUCCUGUCCAACGUUAAUCGGGGCAGGGUGAGUCGACCCCUAAGGCGAGGCUGAAAAGCGUAGUCGAUGGGAAACAGGUUAAUAUUCCUGUACUUGGUGUUACUGCGAAGGGGGGACGGAGAAGGCUAGGCUGGCCGGGCGACGGUUGUCCCGGUUUAAGCGUGUAGGGGGAGUGACCAGGUAAAUCCGGUUGCUUAUCAACCCUGAGGCGUGAUGACGAUGCACCACGGUGCAGAAGCAGUUGAUGCCAUGCUUCCAGGAAAAGCCUCUAAGCAUCAGGUAACAUUAAAUCGUACCCCAAACCGACACAGGUGGUCAGGUAGAGAAUACUCAGGCGCUUGAGAGAACUCGGGUGAAGGAACUAGGCAAAAUGGUGCCGUAACUUCGGGAGAAGGCACGCUGGCGUUAGGUGAAAGGACUAGCUCCUGGAGCUGAAGCCAGUCGCAGAUACCAGCUGGCUGCAACUGUUUAAUAAAAACACAGCACUGUGCAAACACGAAAGUGGACGUAUACAGUGUGACGCCUGCCCGGUGCUGGAAGGUUAAUUGAUGGGGUCAGCCGCAAGGCGAAGCUCUUGAUCGAAGCCCCAGUAAACGGCGGCCGUAACUAUAACGGUCCUAAGGUAGCGAAAUUCCUUGUCGGGUAAGUUCCGACCUGCACGAAUGGCGUAAUGAUGGCCAGGCUGUCUCCACCCGAGACUCAGUGAAAUUGAACUCGCUGUGAAGAUGCAGUGUACCCGCGGCAAGACGGAAAGACCCCGUGAACCUUUACUAUAGCUUGACACUGAACAUUGAGCCUUGAUGUGUAGGAUAGGUGGGAGGCCUUGAAGUGUGGACGCCAGUCUGCAUGGAGCCAACCUUGAAAUACCACCCUUUAAUGUUUGAUGUUCUAACUCGGCCCCAUGAUCUGGGGUGAGGACAGUGUCUGGUGGGUAGUUUGACUGGGGCGGUCUCCUCCCAAAGAGUAACGGAGGAGCACGAAGGUUAGCUAAUCACGGUCGGACAUCGUGAGGUUAGUGCAAAGGCAUAAGCUAGCUUGACUGCGAGAGUGACGGCUCGAGCAGGUACGAAAGUAGGUCUUAGUGAUCCGGUGGUUCUGAAUGGAAGGGCCAUCGCUCAACGGAUAAAAGGUACUCCGGGGAUAACAGGCUGAUACCGCCCAAGAGUUCAUAUCGACGGCGGUGUUUGGCACCUCGAUGUCGGCUCAUCACAUCCUGGGGCUGAAGUAGGUCCCAAGGGUAUGGCUGUUCGCCAUUUAAAGUGGUACGCGAGCUGGGUUUAGAACGUCGUGAGACAGUUCGGUCCCUAUCUGCCGUGGGCGUUGGAAGAUUGAGAGGGGCUGCUCCUAGUACGAGAGGACCGGAGUGGACGAAUCACUGGUGUUCGGGUUGUCAUGCCAAUGGCAUUGCCCGGUAGCUAAAUUCGGAAGAGAUAACCGCUGAAAGCAUCUAAGCGGGAAACUUGCCUCGAGAUGAGUCUUCCCUGGGGCUUAAAGCCCCCUGAAGGAACGUUAAAGACUAUGACGUUGAUAGGCUGGGUGUGUAAGUGCAGCGAUGUAUUGAGCUAACCAGUACUAAUGAUCCGUGAGGCUUAACCUU